AGAAGUUCUAACUGUAUUUCCGAACAACGCUUAGGGCGUGAAAUAUAAAAGUAGGAACAAAUUUGGUGAACUGUGAAACCACGUGUGGCAAGUUCAAAGCCACGUUGAGUAUCGCCCUCUGAGAAGUGUGACAAAGCAUAAGACGAAAAUUCAGAUAGAAAGAUUCUCCCUUCAAACGAGGGUACACCCCUAGGGCCGAGCCAACCGCCCGUCGCGGUGACAUCGACGCGUUGAUCGACUUUCCGUCGAUGAUGAUGAUGCAACUCAACAUCCGAGCUGCAGCAUAACGGUGACGUCACACCACCAUUUCAUUCACCACGAUAUCCGCGAGCCACUACCAGUGUUUCACCUACUCGCUAAUAGAGGGCCAACCGCCGUUGCAAGGUAGAAAUUUGGUGCAAGUUUUUGCUAGGCACACUGGGAC